rnacentral:sRNA from 1 species
GUUUAGUGAAUGAUAACGUAACAGUUUGCUUGCAUACGGGAUUAUAAAUAAAGCUUUUUUCAGGCAUCUCUUUGCGCAUAGAUUGUUGUAAUGAUAUUUUGUUUUAUGCCUUUGAUUGACUGUUGAUAUGAGAUGCAAAAAAUAACAUAUUGGUUGUUUUAUCUUCACAGAUAAUCAAUGUGAUUCCUAUUUUGUUUUUAAGAUUUUCUAUUUAGCAAGCUGUUUAAUCGAUCCUUAAUCUGCAUCGCAUGUUGUGAUGUUUAUAAAUAUAUGUUGGGGAAUUAAUGCCCUUUUGACAAAUAGACUGCUGAAGAAUAGUGAUGGUCAGCCACAAUACAUUCUUGCAAAGUAGUUUAUUCAUUUUCAAACUUGAUUUUAACAAAAAAUGUUAAAUGUAUAUUAAACAGUAAAAUGAAUACUAGGUUCUCAAAGGCCUAUUAUGUACAGCUGAAAAUCAAAUGGAAUCCAAACAUCGACAGCAAAAAGGACUUGCAAUGCCUAAAUUUUAAAUGCACUCUAUUUAGACAUAUGUUUCCAUGUAAAAUGUUUGUACGUAUAAAUAUUGCAUACUC